UGGUUCUAUCUUGCUCUAUAC
rnacentral:siRNA from 1 species